CUAAGUAAACAGCCCCCAGCCGCUUUACCUGCAUGAAGCAGGAUGUUUGGGAGCACAGAGGCUGGGUGCUCCGCAGCACCCCUCGCAACCCAUUAUAACAACUACGUUGGGAACUGGAGGCUUGGUGACACUGGCAAGGUUUAGGCUAAGCCCCAGUUGCCAGUGACACCCCAUCUCUCCAUUAGCCACCAGGCAUGAGACCCCUUCAGCCCUGCUCUGCGUGUGAAGUGACUUGCUACUGCCAGCACAGCUACAUUUAUAGAGGCCCUGAUCCUGUAGGAAUGCUUUGGUCCCCCCAUCUCUCAGAGCUGCCAGGCGUGUGCAGUGUGGGAAGUACGUGUGUGGCUCUUGGGGAUUUCAGUGAGCAUGUUCCAUAAAGAAGUGUGAAAUUACCAAAGUGAUUGAAAGAAGCUAACAGCAGUAGUCCAGAACUCAGAGAGAUCUGCAGGCAGUUUCCAUCGUGCUGCGGUCUUACAAGUCAAACGCAAUCUGUGGGCACACGUAGGAUUUGAUUUUUGGUUUUGAAAAGCUGGACAUACAGGAAUGGCAGUCAACUGAUUCUUUCCUAGGGCUCAAUGAGGCUUGGCUGAUGCCUAGAAGAUGAAAAUCUGUGCCAGGCACAUACUUUUUCCUCGGCCUUCUUCCACAGGCAAACCUGCAAACUGAAGUGGAAGUCUCUCUGCUGGGCCAACCUGGCCAUCUCUCACAGUCUACAAACAAAUAACCAGAGACAGCAGCCUUUCAGCCACACUUCUGCUGGGGCUGCUUGAAGAGGCAGCCUGGAAAAUUUGGAACGCCAUCAAUUCGUUUUAAAAUACCCACACAGACAGAAGCAGCGGGACUGUAUUUUAUCAACAAUUUCUGGUGAUAAAGCUCUGGGGGGAAAAAAUAUCAGUUUUCCAUAAAACUUCCUAUACCUAAGCUAUUUCUAAAUGCAACUAUUGGACACUUAAAAAAAAAAAUAAAUGCUAUUUUAAAGGCGAAUUUAAACAUUACUUUAAUGGCUAAGGUUUGGAGAAACCUUUUUACAAGAUGUCUGCGUGUGUUCAUAGCUAUAGGACAUGCGUAUGCAUUAUUACUAUCUAUGUGAUAAUUUGACAGUUGUAAAAUGGUUUAAUUUUACUGUCAUAUCACUAAAGACUCUUGCUAUCUAGUAGCAAAACAGCUGUAAUACUCAUGUCUCCUAUUUACGUUGUAAUGAAAUAAUAUUGACAGUUUGAGCAUGUUGUAACAUAAAUGGAAGACACUCUGAACUAGAAGACAGUUAUCCUAAGUGGAUAUUAUUGUCUUUAUCUGUCACUACUAGUAAUCCCUAAAUAGAAAUUAGCCUCAGUAUUUAUUAAAAGAACACUGGAAUUCAAGAAA